AUAUGGUCACUCUUCCAUUUAUUUUCCAAGGUGAAAACCAUCUUCAAAGCACCCCAGCAGCCAACAACAAUGCUCCUUCACCGGCAGGCUGUUUGAUUUUUGGUGAACCUUUUGUAUCAUUUUGAUUACAGAUUGGGAGGAUUGUACAUAGAGAGUCCCAUUUUUUGGCGAACCUUUUGUAUCAUUUUGCUCAUAUAUAUUUGGGGAAUUGUAUAUAGAGAGGAAGUAGCCACGUCCAAGAUCUUCUAAUCUACAAGCAGAUGAUUGAUGUGUGGAAAUUGGGACUGCAUGCAGCGAAGAACAAGGGGUGCAGGGAAACAACAUCUCGAUCCUCCAAGGUUCGUUAAUUUCCAGCAAAACAUGAAUGAGUUGAUUUUGUUUGACUUUCCACGUACAUGUGUGUCUCCUGUAUUCUUGGUACCGUGGUAAGGAAGUAUUAAAAUUUCAGGUUUUUCGUGUACUGUCAUGUUUAUGCAUGAGCAGCUUCAUUGUACAUUACUUGGACGGGCUAAUUUACUGUUUCAUGUGAGUCUUUUUGUAAUAUGUUCCUCUGCAUGAUACUACAGUUCAGAUUAUUGUAUACAUUGUUUUUUCAUAUUAGUGCUUUAAGUGAGAAGUGCC
rnacentral:lncRNA from 1 species